CAGCAGCCGCGGUAAUACGGAGGGGGUUAGCGUUGUUCGGAAUUACUGGGCGUAAAGCGCUCGUAGGCGGAUUGGUCAGUCAGAGGUGAAAGCCCAGGGCUCAACCUUGGAAUUGCCUUUGAUACUGCCAGUCUUGAGUUCAGGAGAGGUAAGCGGAAUUCCGAGUGUAGAGGUGAAAUUCGUAGAUAUUCGGAAGAACACCAGUGGCGAAGGCGACUAACUGGACACGUAUUGACGCUGAGGUACGAAAGCGUGGGGAGCAAACAGGAUUAGAUACCCUGGUAG
rnacentral:rRNA from 1 species